CCCUGAAUAGCUCAGUCAGUAGAGCAUGAGCCUCUUAAUCUUAGGGUCAUGGGUUCAAGUCCCAUGUUGGGCG